AUCAUCGUGGGGUCGAAGGCGUGGCUGGAGAAUCCCGGCGAGGCGUGAGUUGACUGCGAGGUACCAAGAUCAGGGCAACGACUUCACGGUCGCCACCACCAAUGGAAAAACGAAAACAUCCGGACGAGACGAGCCUGCUUCUCAUGAUGUGUAUGUGCCUUCACUAUGCUUUUGGGGCUUAAUCUCGUGAGGCUGCUGGUUGAGAACAAAAUAGCUGAAUUCUACCCUGAACUGGUACUUCAUCCUAUGAGAGCCCUAGACUAUCCUUGCAUCAAAUAUGCAGUUGAGCGAGCUUGAGCAAGCCUUUGUGGAAGGGACCUACAACUGAUUAAUCAAUGGUCGAAAAGCUGUGCCAUACGAGAUAUACCUGAUACCUCUACUUUAUGGACCUUCUUGCUUAAAAUAAUAGGUGAAUGAAUUUAUAUUAUGUUUUCUACAGUGGCUCAUGUGUUGAUGUUCUUGAUUUGAUUGUGUUCUCUACAUGUUUCUUUGUAGGGAUGAAAUAGCUGAUUGCGAGUGUUUGGGCAUAUGAUCUUCCAGGUGAAUGAUGCCAUUGAACAGCUUCCGGAGUACAUAGCAGAGGUAAAUGUUAUUUUAUCUCCUCAUCCGUCUCAUCAUCAUGUUUCCAUAUGAGCAAACUCAUAAAAAAAUACCUGCCGUUUGAGUAGUUUAGGGGUGGUAAACACAUUAAGUACAACAAAUGAGCAGCUACUCUACUGAUCAAACCAUAUACUCAUGUAGAUUUAUUCUUAAUGCCACCGCUUUUGGCUAUACAAGUACACUUGAUGAAGGCAGAGCCAACAUGAAUGGGAGGUUUAGAACUCUUCGGUCCUUUUUCACUUGGCAAAGCCCCAACCCAGUGUCGGCGUACACUCGGUUCAGCUGAUCGAAAAAUCUCUUUGCUACUCACAAGAGCUAUAGCAGUAGGGGAAGUAAUGGUGUAUGAUGCUUGAAGAGGACGAAUUUGAGGUAGAUGGGGAUAUCACACAGAAUUGAAGCGUGGCGAUGGGGGUUGUCCCAUUAACCUGUGCACCUACUACUUGCUCAGUGGCCACGCCCCCGCACUGGUCGUGCUACUCUGGAACUUCACCGUGAAACGGCAGAUGGUGCUAUCUAUUAU